AUAUUGAAAAACACCAGAUGAUCUGCUUCGGAGGGACAUAAACAGGCCAAGCGGAUGCAGGUUAAUAAAACCUGCAAAAGCCCAGACAGGAACACUUAAAAUGCCCCAGAAACAAAGCAUACCGUGACAAAUUCUCACCCAAUGCACAAGUACAUGCACCAGAAUGUUCCCAGGCAC
rnacentral:sRNA from 1 species